UACGGAGGAGGCAAGCGUUAUCCGGAAUGAUUGGGCGUAAAGAGUCCGUAGGUGGUUAUUCAAGUCGAUUGUUAAAGAGCGGGGCUUAACCCCGUAGAAGCAGUGGAAACUGAAUAACUAGAGAGAGGUAGGGGUAGAGGGAAUUCCCGGUGUAGCGGUGAAAUGCGUAGAGAUCGGGAAGAACACCAGUGGCGAAAGCGCUCUACUGGGCCUCAUCUGACACUGAGGGACGAAAGCUAGGGGAGCGAAAGGG
rnacentral:rRNA from 1 species